CUAAGCUGCGCCUGCGGAAAGACACUGAAGUUUCAAUGUGUUUUUGUUUCUCCUGAUAAUUCAGUGCAGAGCUACUCUUCCAUUGACAUCCAUUCAAAGAAAACGGCCUCUGGUCUCUUUUCCCACGUACUGCCAGACCAGAAGCGUUAGCUUUAGCCGUUACACUUUUUCAGCUAAUGCAAGCAGGCUUGCAAAAUAGUGGCUUUGCUUUAGGAUCAUUAGAAAAUCACAUGUGGAGGCUGAUUAAAAAUGUUCCUUCCAGCCAAGUCCUCCUGAUUCUGUAGUUGAGAGUGAGAUAAAGGUGUGGUUGCGGAAUUCAAGAGACAGACUGGGUGGAUGAAAGAGGGAGCUUUGCCAAUGAAUACUUCUGCACACCAAAUCAUAUUUUCAGCAGAGCUCGAAGUAAUAAUUUGGUAUUUU